GUGGGGAAUUUUGGACAAUGGGCGAAAGCCUGAUCCAGCCAUGCCGCGUGCAGGAUGAAGGCCUUCGGGUUGUAAACUGCUUUUGUACGGAACGAAAAGACUCUGGUUAAUACCUGGGGUCCAUGACGGUACCGUAAGAAUAAGCACCGGCUAACUACGUGCCAGCAGCCGCGGUAAUACGUAGGGUGCAAGCGUUAAUCGGAAUUACUGGGCGUAAAGCGUGCGCAGGCGGUUAUAUAAGACAGAUGUGGAAUCCCCGAGCUCAACCUGGGAACUGCAUUUGUGACUGUAUAGCUAGAGUACGGCAGAGGGGGAUGGAAUUCCGCGUGUAGCAGUGAAAUGCGUAGAUAUGCGGAGGAACACCGAUGGCGAAGGCAAUCCCCUGGGCCUGUACUGACGCUCAUGCACGAAAGCGUGGGGAGCAAACAGGAUUAGAUACCCUAGUAGUCC
rnacentral:rRNA from 1 species